rnacentral:ncRNA from 1 species
ACAACACGCUGGAAAGAGACGGGCUGAUGGUGCCGUCUCGCCGAAGGAGCAAGCCCGCAUGCCGGGCGGAAUCUCUCAGGCGCCCAGGACAGCGGGGG